CCUACGGGCGGCAGCAGUGGGGAAUAUUGGACAAUGGGGGGAACCCUGAUCCAGCCAUGCCGCGUGUGUGAAGAAGGCCCUCGGGUUGUAAAGCACUUUCAGUGAGGAAGAACGCCUGGUGGUUAAUACCCAUCAGGAAAGACAUCACUCACAGAAGAAGCACCGGCUAACUCCGUGCCAGCAGCCGCGGUAAUACGGAGGGUGCGAGCGUUAAUCGGAAUUACUGGGCGUAAAGCGCGCGUAGGUGGCUUGAUAAGCCGGUUGUGAAAGCCCCGGGCUCAACCUGGGAACGGCAUCCGGAACUGUCAAGCUAGAGUGCAGGAGAGGAAGGUAGAAUUCCCGGUGUAGCGGUGAAAUGCGUAGAGAUCGGGAGGAAUACCAGUGGCGAAGGCGGCCUUCUGGACUGACACUGACACUGAGGUGCGAAAGCGUGGGUAGCAAACAGGAUUAAAUACCCGGGUAGUC
rnacentral:rRNA from 1 species